UAUGUUCUUUUCCGCGAAAAGGGAGAGAGAAUCAACCCCAAACCCUCUCCUUGUCCAUCAAUAGAGAAGAAUCAAAAUUCAAACCCCUUAAUUCUCCCUAUGUGGGCAGCAACUUAGAAGGAGAAGAAGUAAUUAGAGAUGAAGAGAAGUCACGAGAAUGGAAGCUUGGAAUUGUAGAGAUCAAAGUCAAUUUGGAAAUUUCAUCAAUCUCUUCUUAAGAGAGCCUAAGGUAUAGAAGUGCACAUUGGAUGAUUGAGGAGUAUUUAUAGCUCGUCAUCCAUCCAUGUCUCAGUCCGAAUCGGAUCACGUCGAGAGUUAGAGUUUUAGGACUUGAUGUCAUGUGUUAUUGUAAAAUUUCAUUUUUUUUAGUUGUAAACUUUUCGAUAAAGUUUUUAAAGACAUUUAAAGUUCCUAUUGAGAAAA